rnacentral:rRNA from 1 species
GUAGCCAACACUGUGUUUUAUAUAUAUAUAUAUAUAUAUAUUUAAAUUGGGGUAGCCCCCAAAAUAUUGGGACAUAUAAAAAAGAUAACUCUGUUGACAUUAUAGUUGCGCAGGCACUUUGUUGAUUCCAGAGAGCCUCGGGCCAAUCGCACAUCCCCGUGACGGCGACUUUGCAUUUGGAUGUCAUCCAUAUCAACUUUCGAUGCCAUUUUCUGCACCUACCAAGGUGACCACAGGUAACGAGGAAUCAGGGUUCCAUCCUGUAAAGGGACCCUGAGAAACGGCUACCACAUGCAAGGAAGGCAGCAUGCGCGCAAGUGAUCCACUCUUGACUCGGGAAGGUAGUGAC